UACGUAGGGGGCGAGCGUUGUCCGGAAUCAUUGGGCGUAAAGAGCGUGUAGGCGGCUUGGCAAGUCUGACGUGAAAGCCCGCGGCUCAACCGCGGAUUGUCGUUGGAAACUGCCUCGCUAGAGUCCGGAAGAGGAGAGCGGAAUUCCUGGUGUAGCGGUGGAAUGCGCAGAUAUCAGGAAGAACACCCGUGGCGAAGGCGGAUCUCUGGGCCGAUACUGACGCUGAGGAGCG
rnacentral:rRNA from 1 species